GAGUUUGAUCCUGGCUCAGGAUGAACGCUAGCUACAGGCUUAACACAUGCAAGUCGAGGGGCAGCAUGACCUAGCAGUAGGUUGAUGGCGACCGGCGCACGGGUGAGUAACACGUAUCCAACCUGCCGAUUAUUCCGGGAUAGCCUUUCGAAAGAAAGAUUAAUACUGGAUAGCAUAACGAGAAGGCAUCUUCUUGUUAUUAAAGAAUUUCGAUAAUCGAUGGGGAUGCGUUCCAUUAGUUGUUGGCGGGUAACGGCCCACCAAGACAUCGAUGGAUAGGGGUUCUGAGAGGAACGGUCCCCCCACAUUGGAACUGAGACACGGUCCAAACUCCUACGGGAGCAGCAGUGAGGAAUAUUGGUCAA
rnacentral:rRNA from 1 species